UAGGGAAUCUUCCGCAAUGGACGCAAGUCUGACGGAGCAACGCCGCGUGAGUGAAGAAGGAUUUCGGUUCGUAAAACUCUGUUGUUAGAGAAGAACAGCGCAUAGAGUAACUGUUAUGCGUGUGACGGUAUCUAACCAGAAAGCCACGGCUAACUACGUGCCAGCAGCCGCGGUAAUACGUAGGUGGCAAGCGUUGUCCGGAUUUAUUGGGCGUAAAGCGAGCGCAGGCGGUCAAUUAAGUCUGAUGUGAAAGCCCCCGGCUCAACCGGGGAGGGUCAUUAGAAACUGGUUGACUUGAGUGCAGAAGAGGAGAGUGGAAUUCCAUGUGUAGCGGUGAAAUGCGUAGAUAUAUGGAGGAACACCAGUGGCGAAGGCGACUCUCUGGUCUGUAACUGACGCGGAGGCUCGAAAGCGUGGGUAGCAAACAGG
rnacentral:rRNA from 1 species